UUCAUGUGCCGAGAUACACUUUCAAGAAUAAUAAUUUUUCGUGACUCAUUCGCUCGCAAUGUAGAUAAGUGCAUAGUGGUUUCCAAACUUUCAUGAGCCGAGAUACACUUUCAA